UUUGGAGGGCAAGUCUGGUGCCAGCAGCCGCGGUAAUUCCAGCUCCAAUAGCGUAUAUUAAAGUUGUUGCAGUUAAAAAGCUCGUAGUUGAAUUUCGGGAUCAAUUUGCUGGUCGUGCCUUCGGUACGCACUGGUAUUAUUGGUUUCUCCUUUCUGAUGAAUCGCGAUGUCAUUAAUUUGGUGUCGUGGGGAAUCAGGACUGUUACUUUGAAAAAAUUAGAGUGUUUAAAGCAGGCUCACGCUUGAAUACAUUAGCAUGGAAUAAUGAAAUAGGACGUUUGAUUCUAUUUUGUUGGUUUCUAGGAUCGACGUAAUGAUUAAUAGGGAUAGUUGGGGGCAUUAGUAUUCAAUUGUCAGAGGUGAAAUUCUUGGAUUUAUUGAAGACUAACUACUGCGAAAGCAUUUGCCAAGGAUGUUUUCAUUAAUCAAGAACGAAAGUUAGGGGAUCGAAGACGAUCAGAUACCGUCGUAGUCUUAACCAUAAACUAUGCCGACUAGGGAUCGGAUGAUGUUAAUUUUUUAAUGACUCAUUCGGCGCCUUACGGGAAACA
rnacentral:rRNA from 1 species